rnacentral:misc_RNA from 1 species
GCCAUCUCCCUCCUCUCUGCUGAUCAGCGACCACCACUAGCGAGGCCAACAGCCGCCUGUCGCUUCCGUAGGAUUUCUCUUCCUCUAUGAUCGAUGAGCAACACCAACAAUAGCUGAUACAAGCAGCGCGCAGCGAGAACAACCAACCGUCAAGAAUCAUCAACUCCGUCAGCAGCAGCAGCUCCGGCGAAGGCGAGACGAGUAUCACCGGAGAAAGGAGAUGUUGCUCACCCUUUGCUCGUUAUCUGCCCCUCUCUACUUUUUCCGGUGGACAGCAGCUCAACAGAGCAAGCAUUAGUCCUCAGGCCAUUCAAUAUCAAGCAUUGUUCCGGGAGCAAAAGACAAUUUCAAAUCAUCAGUAUUGGCUAUUGAGGC